rnacentral:rRNA from 1 species
AUUGAACGCUGGCGGCAGGCCUAACACAUGCAAGUCGAGCGGAUGAAGGGAGCUUGCUCCUGGAUUCAGCGGCGGACGGGAGAGUAAUGCCUAGGAAUCUGCCUGGUAGUGGGGGAUAACGUCCGGAAACGGGCGCUAAUACCGCAUACGUCCUGUGGGAGAAAGUGGGGGAUCUUCGGACCUCACGCUAUCAGAUGAGCCUAGGUCGGAUUAGCUAGUUGGUGGGGUAAAGGCCUACCAAGGCGACGAUCCGUAACUGGUCUGAGAGGAUGAUCAGUCACACUGGAACUGAGACACGGUCCAGACUCCUACGGGAGGCAGCAGUGGGGAAUAUUGGACAAUGGGCGAAAGCCUGAUCCAGCCAUGCCGCGUGCGUGAAGAAGGUCUUCGGAUUGUAAAGCACUUUAAGUUGGGAGGAAGGGCAGUAAGUUAAUACCUUGCUGUUUUGACGUUACCAACAGAAUAAGCACCGGCUAACUUCGUG